rnacentral:lncRNA from 1 species
ACAUGACUACUCUACGUGUUGCCGGUGGAACUCCAUCUAUAUGGGCACACCUCAGACAACGGUGCCACAUCCAUAUUUUACCAUCUCUUUCCCCAGGUAGCUUCAUUGAAGGAAGGCGUCUCACAUUAAUGGUAAGGUUUCCUUGUUGAUGGGUGUAACAUGAAACAUGGGCCUCGGUUGGCUCUUUACAAGAUCGACAGAAAGAUGUCUGCAAGUUAUGAACCUCAUUAGCUAUAAUUCCAUUCUAUAACUUGGAAUAUUAUAAAACAACAAAGAACUACCUGAUCAAAUAGGUCAUCACGAAGGUAUCUGCCCAGUGGCUUAUCAAAGCAGCCAUAGAACUUUAUUCGCAGAAGUCGGGAGCGUUCACAAACAGUUCCUUUCACACAAUGGCUUGAAAAGGAUACCAAUAUGCUUUGAUGAGUGUCAGCAGUAGAGAAGUACUCACUGGAAGGCUCAUUCUGAUCAAUCUUCUCAGAGCUCGUCAAUUCAUGAAUAUCCUCAUGUUGACUCUCAACAUGAGGCAAGGUAUCUUGCAACUCCAGUUGGGAAAUACAUUUUGUUGCAGCAGACUGUGCAAUCAGUGACGAUAUAUCCUUGUAUUGAUGUGAAGAAGUGUCUGAAAACAUGUGAGAUGCUAAAUCAUCAUUAUAUGGAUCAGAAAAUGCGUUUCCAACCUCAAAGUCCACAGAACCAAUAGAUAAAGGAAAACUAUGGUCAGGAACAAGAUGCCCAGACAAAGAAUCUGAUCUAUCAAUUUCUGGGAUCAAGCCCAAAAUAUCAUCAUCUGGAGUAGAAGCAUCAGCUACAGCUUUGGAAUUGCUCGAAGCUAGAGAAUUAGCUGAAAUUGAGUGUCUAGGUGUCAUCUUGGGCAGAGUAGCACCCUCAUCAACAAGGAAUGAUGUUUCCAGGGACAAAUGAUAAGCUGCAAACACUGCAUACUGAACAACAUGUUUGAUCUUCUUCAGUUGUUCAACACACGCACCUUUCAGU